rnacentral:rRNA from 1 species
UUGGAGGGCAAGUCUGGUGCCAGCAGCCGCGGUAAUUCCAGCUCCAAUAGCGUAUAUUAAAGUUGUUGCAGUUAAAAAGCUCGUAGUUGAACUUCGGGGUCUACCCAUUGGCCAGGCUUAAUUGUCUGCACUGGUGAGAUGGAUCUCUACCUUCUGAGGAACUUUCAUGCCAUUUAUUUGGUGUGAUGGGAAAUCAGGACUGUUACUUUGAAAAAAUUAGAGUGUUUAAAGCAGACUAUCGUCUGAAUACAUUAGCGUGGAAUAAUGAAAUAGGACGGACUGAUUCUACUUCGUUGGUUUCUAGGAUCGACGUAAUGAUUAAUAGGGAUAGUUGGGGGCAUUAGUAUUCAAUUGUCAGAGGUGAAAUUCUUGGAUUUAUUGAAGACUAACUACUGCGAAAGCAUUUGCCAAGGAUGUUUUCAUUAAUCAAGAACGAAAGUUAGGGGAUCGAAGACGAUCAGAUACCGUCGUAGUCUUAACCAUAAACUAUGCCGACUAGGGAUCGGAUGAUGUUAAUUUUUUAAUGACUCAUUCGGCGCCUCACGGGAAACCAAAGUGUUUGGGUUC